UCCGUAGGUGAACCUGCGGAAGGAUCAUUGAAUUUCCAUCGUAUCCACCUCGUGCACCUACAUGUUGGCCCGUUGUUGCCCUUCACGGGGUGGCAAGCGUGCCGGUUCCUUGCCCAUUGGGCAAUGGUGGCCGGCAGGGUUGGCUGCUUUGCAGCAAUGCAGGGCAGCCAGGUCGGUCUGUUUUCUUUUCACACCCAUCAAUAUACUGAAGCAAUCAGGCUUGGCUCUUGUAGCUAGCCUUCUAACAAAAACAACUCUCAACAACGGAUAUCUUGGCUCCCGUAACGAUGAAGAACGCAGCGAAAUGCGAUACGUAGUGUGAAUUGCAGAAUUCCGUGAACCAUCGAAUCUUUGAACGCAUAUUGCGCCUGAGGCUUCGGCCGAGGGCAUGUCUGCCUCAGCGUCGGCAUAACCCCAUCACCCACAAAACUUUGUGAGUGGACUUGGCAGUCCCAGUCCGGGUCUGCCGAAUUACAGCAGUUGCUAUCAGGACCCGCCUUUGGCGUGGCCAUUCAGUUUGGUAGGUAACCCCUGGUUGCAUGCCACUGUUGGCCAUUGUGGCCUGUUGUAGCAUACUGGGCAGGGGAAACCAAGGGGGGGGCGGUGGAAGGCCCUUUCCUCAUUUCGGACCUGGAGGGUCAGGGCAAGGAUUACCCGGCUGGAACUUAAGGCAUAUC
rnacentral:rRNA from 1 species